AUCUACGGCCAUACCACCCUGAACAUACCUGAUCUCCUCUGAUCUCAGAAGCUAAGCAGGGUCGGGCCUAGUUAGUACUUGGAUGGGAGAAUUCCAUAUGCCAUCCCCU
rnacentral:rRNA from 1 species